rnacentral:rRNA from 1 species
CCCUUAGAUGUUCUGGGCUGCACGCGCGCUACACUGAUACUUUCAGCGAGUCCACCACCUUGCCUGGGAGGGUGGGGUAACCUCUGGAAAGUGCAUCGUGAUGGGGAUCGAUUAUUGUAAUUAUUAAUCUUCAACGAGGAAUUCCUAGUAAGCAUGUGUCAUCAGCCCGUGCUGAUUACGUCCCUGCCCUUUGUACACACCGCCCGUCGCACCUACCGAUUGAAUGUUUCGGUGAAGAUUCCGGAUAGGACUUUUUUGAUUUAUUUCAAUUUUGUCUUAAAAGCUAUCUAAACCUCAACAUUUAGAGGAAGGUGAAGUCGUAACA